rnacentral:tRNA from 1 species
GCCCUCGUAGCUCAGUGGAUAGAGCACCGGUUUCCUAAACCGGGUGUCGCAGGUUCGAUUCCUGCCGAGGGCG